UAAAUUUCGUGUAUAAAGCCCCCAUGUUCCCAACGUAAUAUCACACACUCAGGCAUUUUCUUUUACCUGGUUCAGUUUUAUAUAAAUUUUUUUUGUCAGAAAACUAUAUUGCUUAAUCCUUCAAUAAUGAAUUCGGACAGCUCUAUGGGGAGUGAAUAUAGCAACUUCUCAGAGGAUGGUUCGGAUGCCCAAUCUGACUUCAGUUUUGCUUUCAACAAUAGCGCCUACUCAGAUGGGUUGUUGAAGAUAGAGAUUGUGUACCGGACCGGGCAAAACCAGGCAAUGGAGGAGUAGAUUGGGACCAGAAAGGCAAGCGCAAGCGAGAAGAAAUAGACACAAGAGGAAAUGGUUUGCUUUUCUUGCUAAUUUUUAUUUUUCAUUUUUUGGUAAAGAUUUUGGGAGUUAAGAAGAGAAUAAAUCACAAAAUGGUUGCUUUUUACAUAAAAAAUUAGCAUUAGAUUUUAACAUGUUUUUGUCCACAGAUUUUUGGUUUCUGUGUUAUACAUAUAUCUGGAAUUGGAUAUCCCACUGUUUAUCAUAAAGGCGUUUUUUUUCACAGGAGAAUUUCUUUUUGGUUAAUGGACGAAAAAAGGUAGUUUACAAAUCCAAAUAGAGUGGAAACGAUGUAAAGAAUUCAUAUAGCUAAAUUCAACUAGUUUAGAGUUACAGUAGUAAUAUUUGGGAGUCAUACACUAUUAAUUACUUGACGGACUCUUCCUAUAUAUUUUGUUCCCUUUUGUAUGCUUAUCUCUUUCACUUGUCAGGUACCUAUUCACUUACCUACAAUAGACUUUUUUUCCCUUCUAUUCCAAACCUAUCAUUCAUUAGUGAUUCUGAGAUAUUAGAUUCUGAUAUCAAACUAUUAAACACUUAAUUGAUCUUGUUGGAUAAGUUUUAUUGCAGAUGCUAUAGUUUUUAGAUGUUGAAAGUGUACUUAAUUUUGUGGCUGAUGGAAAAGAAUUGAUUUUCAAAAGUUUGUGGCCGGUUGAGUAACUAGUAAAGUUGCUGCCAUGUGGCCAAGAGGUCACGGGUUCAAGCCUUGGAAACAGCUCUGGCAGAAAUGCAAGGUAAGGCUGCGUACGAUAUGUUAGAGUGGGUAAAAAGUUCUACAUUGGUUGGGGAAUGAACUGGUGGUUUGCUUAUAUGGAAUUGGGUAAUCCUCUCCUCUUGAGCUGAUAUCAGAGCCAGGUCCAUCCCCGUUUUGGGCUCCCUGUCCACGCGUCAGUGUCAGUUGGUCUUGGGCCCCUUUUUUAGUCGUAUAUAUAUUUGGGAAUUCUACACUAGUAAUUACUUGACUUUUCUUUUUAAUUCCCAUUCCCUUCUGUAUACUUACUUAUCUCACUUAUCAGAUGCAAACAUCGUCAUGCAACAUAAGGACCAGGACCUGGAAGUAAACUGUAGUGUUCUACAAAGGGAUGAUUGUCUUAGCUUGCCGAUGACAAGGGGAAAAAUGAAGCAGUAGGAAAGUUUGAGGAAUCGUCUUCUGGCAAUGUGAUAAUCAUAAAUUUCUGUGGUACCUAUAAUGGACCUUUUCGUUCCUUCUACUUCAAACCUAUCAGUCAUUAGAGAUUCUAACUCUUUUCAUAAAAUCCUAUUUAUCAAAGUAUCUGAUGAGAGAGAUUAGAUAAUUUCUGAUAUUGGGAAAUUUCUAAGUAUAAUCUCCACAUGCAUGAUUGGAAAGACAAAUCUUUAUUGAUGAUGACUGCAUUUUAAUUUGUUAUGGGGUCAUUGGUUAUUUAUCAAGUUUUUUUCAGACAAGCUUGAUGCAUUUUAUAGGUGAUAUAUAAUAUAAUGAAGCUUCUGAAAGUAAUGAUUCCUCAAAACUCAUUCACGUGAUAACUUUACAUAUCAUCAGUUCUGACAUUUUGGCAGCUAAGAGACAAUUAUUUAAAAAGGUGGGAUAGUUAAUUCUUACUAAAAUUAAAUUUUUUCUUAAUCAGGCCUUCCCUGUUACUUUCUUUUUUCUUUUACAACUAUUUGUCUUUUUGCUUAGUUGUUCUCAAAUAGAAUGAAAGAGUCGAAGGAACAACAUGUAACUAUACGAAUCCAUGUUUCGGGUAAGUACUAAUUUGUCUGAUACUUUCUUGUGUGAAAGAUUUAGUUCAUUUCACUACAUUUGCUUGAAUCAAGGAUAAAACCUGUUAUGAUUCGAACAGAAUAAGCAAACCACAAGUAACAGAAAACAAGAACAACAUACGGAUUUACAUGAAAAGCCAAGGGCAGAGGCAGAGGAGGUUUCGCUGUAAUGGAUAGAGAGUACAAUGUGGAAAAGACUGAAUUUUUUGAAUAAUGAAAAUAACCCACUAAAUCGUACUUAUAUAGUACGUGCGUACAAAUAGGUCCUAGGCCCAAAAACAUAAAGGUCCAUAUGCUAUCACCACAGACCCCAUUCUAAUAAAAUCACAAACAUGAAUCACACUACAAAACUUUCAAGGCCGAACCAACAAAAUUCAGGUCACAACUCUAACAAAACUAAUAUUGUCAAUGCAUGUCCGGUUCUAGGGUACUAUUGCAUGUCACACAGAUUCAACCCCAACCCCUCUCCCAGGGUAGCUCGAGGUUAAAGCCACUAAAGCAUGUGCACUAGGUCCCUAAAAGUCAAAG
rnacentral:lncRNA from 1 species